GAUGAACGCUGGCGGCAUGCCUAAUACAUGCAAGUCGAACGAGAGGAAGGAAAGCUUGCUUUUCUGAAUCUAGUGGCGAACGGGUGAGUAACACGUAGGUAACCUGCCCAUGUGCCCGGGAUAACUUCUGGAAACGGAUGCUAAAACCGGAUAGGUAGCAGACAAGCAUUUGACUGCUAUUAAAGUGGCUAAGGCCAUGAACAUGGAUGGACCUGCGGUGCAUUAGCUAGUUGGUGAGGUAACGGCCCACCAAGGCGACGGUGCAUAGCCGGCCUGAGAGGGCGGACGGCCACAUUGGGACUGAGACACGGCCCAAACUCCUACGGGAGGCAGCAGUAGGGAAUUUUCGUCAAUGGGGGGAACCCUGAACGAGCAAUGCCGCGUGAGUGAAGAAGGUCUUCGGAUCGUAAAGCUCUGUUGUAAGAGAAAAACGACAUUCAUAGGGAAUGAUGAGUGAGUGAUGGUAUCUUACCAGAAAGUCACGGCU
rnacentral:rRNA from 1 species